GAAGUUCCUGCAGGGUCGAACUGAGAACACAUGAGAUAUAUUGACGAGCGACUAACUCAUGUGUUCUCAGGUCGCCCCCGCUGGAGCCUC
rnacentral:pre_miRNA from 1 species